AUGCAUUGUUCGUAACCUGUUGCAUGUUUUUAUUCUUGCUUCUGGUUCCAUUCCAAUGCAAAAUUACAUCCAAGUAUAAGAAGUGGAAGCUGCUGUAUGUAGGUUGCUUCAUCAUAAUGCUUGGUACACUA
ensembl:snoRNA